GACGAACGCUGGCGGCGUGCUUAACACAUGCAAGUCGAACGGAAAGGCCUGCUUUCCCUUGUGGAUUGCGGGUACUCGAGUGGCGAACGGGUGAGUAACACGUGAGUGAUCUGCCCCCAACUUGGGUAUAAGCCUGGGAAACUGGGUCUAAUUCCCGAUAGGACUGCAGGGUGGUGCCUGUGGUGGAAAACGAUUUUCUAGUGGUUGGGGAUGAGCUCGCGGCCUAUCAGCUUGUUGGUGGGGUAAUGGCCUACCAAGGCGGCGACGGGUAGCCGGCCUGAGAUGGUGGACGGCCACAUUGGGACUGAGAUACGGCCCCGACUCCUACGGGAGGCAGCAGUGGGGAAUAUUGCACAAUGGGCGGAAGCCUGAUGCAGCGACGCCGCGUGGGGGAUGACGGCCUUCGGGUUGUAAACUCCUUUCGACCGCGAGGAAGCCACCUGGUUGGAAGGGUGGUGACGGUAGUGGUAGAAGAAGCACCGGCUAACUACGUG
rnacentral:rRNA from 1 species